rnacentral:lncRNA from 1 species
CCCUGCUCCCUUCUCUCUGGUGAUUAAAGGUCAAACUCUCCUGAGAGGCUGGGGACUUAUUUUGAAAGUCAUCAGCAAGGAAGGGGAUAGCUAGGAAAACUGCACCCUGCUUCCCAGCCAGCCCUUGGGAAGAGGCAUCCAUCCCAGAGGACACACCAGUGACAGUGUUGAGGAGGAAAGGGGAAAAGUCCAAGUCCCUGAGGCCUGACUGGAAAGAGAGAGCAGGAGCUGGCCUGGCCCUGGAGCUUGGUGGACCUGUGUGUGGACAAGGAAUCUCCAGAAAAUAGAUGAAACAGAAAACCUGCAACACGAAGUGAGUUAGAAUUCCAGAUAAACGAGAAAUGACAUUCUAGCGAAAGUAUUUUAUCAGGUGAUCCUACUUCAAAAGCCGGGUCUCUGAGGGAACCACUGCUUUCUUCUUUCACUCCUUAUCACCUGGAGUGAGCUGUCUGCUCUCCCUCCUGUUGCAACAGCUGCUGUCUGGCCUUCUGGCCUCUGGUCUCUCCCUCCUGGAGCUUGUUGGCACUCUAAAGUGUCCGUCAAUGCCAUGAUACCUUGCUGCGGCUGAAAGGAGUUUUAGAAACCAUCUCUUGUUGGUUCCUUGGAUGCUUGUGAAGGUAGACUUCAAAGGUGGGUUGCCAGAUUUAGAAAACAGAUCAAACAAAAUACCUGGGGAACCAAUGAAUUUCAGUUGCUGAUAAACAGUAAGUAACUUUUUAGUGAAGUAUUUUAUCGGGUAAUCCUACUUCCAAAACUGGGUCUCUGGGGAAAACGGCUGGGCCUUCUUCUUGUGCUCUCCUUUUUUACUCCUUAUCACCGUGGAUUAAACAUUCUCUCUCAUGAACCUGCUGCGAUAGUUCCUGCCUGAUCUUCUGGCCUCUACUUUCUCCCCUCCUGGUCCAUUUGGACUCUAAAAUACAGCCAGAUGACACAAGACAUAAUACUAUGCUCAGGGCAAAUUAAUGCCAAAAAAGAUUUUAUACUCCAUCCCUUGUUGGUUCCUUGGAUGUUUGUGUGGGAGACAGGGCAAGGCUUUCAUAGACGACCUGAGGUCUGACAGUAGGCUGGAGGCCCGAGCUAGUUCAGUUGUUCAUUCUCCAAGCACUUAUCAAAGUCCAGGCAUCAUGGCUCCCUGAGGGAUGCAGCACAAAAGCCCUCUUCUCCCUGCUGGUUCUUGUGUGAUAGAAGCAAAGGUGACUCCAUUUUGUUUUAUGACUCCAUCCUGUAAAACAACCAGGCCAAGUAGAAGGGUCUUGACUGGGGCAAGAUAUUCUUUUCCUUUUGCUACAGAAACCUUUAAGAACACAGAACUACCUAAUGGGACAUUGUUUCUGUAACUAGGGUAACGGAGCUCUGUUUCUGUAACUGGGGUGACUGGGCUAACUGUGAUUGGUUAGGCUUCCCUCCGCUUGACUGCACUGUCCCGCUUCUGUAACCUGGCUGGCUUGCAUUGGCUGGACCCCCCCCCCCCCAACAUCCCUUUUGCGGUUUUCAGGGUUAUAAGGAGUGCCCUUGCAAUUGUUCGGGACUGAUCAGGGGAACAGCUUUAUGUUGUGGUCAGCCACCACCGGUGUGCUUCAAUAAAGGCUUGAUUCGAUUAUACGUGAGUGGUCUGGAAGUCAGUUUAUGAAACCCCGGGACGAAGCUUUAACUGUAACAUCUGGGGGCUCGUCCGGGAUCCAUUUCUUCCCUACCCUCACGCCAAAUUUGCCUCCAAUGAUGGGCCUUUGGACCUCGGCCCCGGAGUAGAGGGGAGCUCCUGAGAGACGUUCCUCAGCCUCACUCUGAGGACGACUCCUCCUGUCGGCUGCCAGUUCUGGUGAGUCCCCUCUUCUGGGGAAAAGGUCAGAUUGGACACAGUGGCUUACACCUUUCCAGGGACAGGACGAGACGUCACUGCCUCCCUGGAGAUCUCCCUGUGUGACCUCAUCUGUCUGUAUCUGUCUGGGGGCAGGACAAGACAUAGUCUCUGCCCCAGUAGAGGUCUCCCUGUGUGACCUCAGCGAUUGUUCCUUGUCCUGUGUCUGUUCUGCUGUUUGUCGUUUGUUCCGUGUCUGUUCGCUGGCCGUUUGUCUUGUGUUUGUCUGUCCCUGUGUUGUGCUCGGGCCCUUUUCUUGUUCCCAUAACCGCUCUUCUUUUCAGGACUCCUUCGCUUCACCGACAUCAGAGACAAGGAAGGGCUACAGAGAUCUCUACCUGGACCCCUUUAACUUGUUUUCUUAACAAUUUUCAGGACUCUGUCUGUUGGUUUGUUUUUGAUUGUUCCCUUUGUGUUCUGUAUUAAUUUCUACCUCAGUUUGUUUCUAAUGGAAAAAAAAUGGUUAAAAGGGUCUUAACUGUGCUCACUACAGCUUGCAUUAAAAUGUAAAGUGCUGCCAACAGGACUGAAAGAAUUGUCAAAAGUAAAAGCUAAAGGUAAAAAGAAAAAGGCAUUCUAGAGAUUGCCUUCAUUUAGGAGCUGGGCCAGGUGGCCAACUGGGUAAAUCAUGUCACUUCCUAUAGAGGACAGAUUAAAACUAAAGUGUUUUAUAAAAUUAUUAUUCCUAAAUUGUAUAACAAAAAACAUAAUUUUGCCUAGAAAAUUUGGCUUUUGUCUCUCAGUAUUUGCAAGCAUGAAUAACUCCCAACUAUUAAAAAAUGGUCCAAAGAUUUUUCAAUAUCAGGCUAAAAGUUGGUGGCCACUAUCCAACAAACCAGAAAAACCAGUUUAAAAUGGGACCCCAACCUG